UGGGGAAUAUUGGGCAAUGGACGCAAGUCUGACCCAGCAACGCCGCGUGAAGGAUGAAGGCCUUCGAGUUGUAAACUUCUGUUGUAAAGGACGAAGAUAGUGACUGUACUUUACAAGCAAGCCCCGGCUAACUAUGUGCCAGCAGCCGCGGUAAUACAUAGGGGGCAAGCGUUGUCCGGAAUCACUGGGCGUAAAGGGAGCGUAGGCGGAUGAUUAAGUUAAGUGUGAAAGCCUGGGGCUCAACUCCAGAAUUGCACUUGAUACUGGUUAUCUAGAGUGUGGGAGAGGUAAGUGGAAUUCCUAGUGUAGCGGUAGAAUGCGUAGAGAUUAGGAGGAACACCAGAGGCGAAGGCGGCUUACUGGACCACAACUGACGCUGAGGCUCGAAAGCGUGGGGAGCAAACAGG
rnacentral:rRNA from 2 species